UCAGCAAGACCACCACACCAACUUGACCAAUUCUGACAUUGUCAAAGUUCCCUUAACGCCGAAUGGAGAGAUGAAAUCGUGCUGGUCCAGCUGUGGGGAAGGAAAUAAAUGCAUAAUGGGCAACCAUCGUCGCAUCGUCUGUACACAGACAGAGAUUCUCCCGAAAGGACGACGCGCACUAAAAACUGCCACAAAAAAGAUUCUCCCGAAAGGACGACGCGCACUAAAAACUGCCACAAAAAGUAAGUAUAAUUCAAUGUGUAUAUACUGUGGAUUCCUGAAUGACAGUAGCAUUAUUUCUUAGUUUAGUCUAUUCCUUAUUGUUUGAUGGA